rnacentral:tRNA from 1 species
GGGUAUGAAGGUUUUCUCAAGUAAUUUGAAAUUAUUUGACUUGCAUUUAAAUUGCAAUGCCUA